CCAUGCAAAUCUGCCCGUCGGCUUCGACGGACGGUGUACGGCUCAGUAACAAGUAGUCAAUCUGCCCUAAGGACGGGAGCAACCUCGGGAAACUGAGGUCAAUUCCCGAUGCUUCAUCUAUGCUGGAAUGCUUGAUGAGGAAAAUGCGCGGUAAAUUGUAGCCGUUGCGCCUUAGGAUGAGACUGCUCCUGAUUAGGUAGUUGGUGAGGUAACGGCUCACCAAGCCGAUAAUCAGUAGGGGCAAUGGGAGUUGGCGCCCCGAGAAGGGCACUGAGAUAAGGGCCCUAGUCCUACGGGAUGCAGCAGGCGCGAAACCUUUACAAUGCGCGAAAGCGUGAUAAGGGAAUUCUGAGUGGCAGCCGGCUUUUAGCCGACUGUCUUUUGGCGAACCUAAAUCGUUCGCAGAAUAAGUUCUGGGUAAGACCAGUGCCAGCCGCCGCGGUAAUACUGGCAGAACGAGUGGUGCCCACGAAUAUUGGGUCUAAAGAGACCGUAGCUGGUUUGUUAAGUCCACUGUGAAAUCUUGGGGCUCAACCUCAAGGCGUGCAGUGGAUACUGGCAGACUUGAGAGCGGGGGAGGUCAGGGGUACUUACGGGGUAUGAGUAAAAUCAGUUGAUCCUGUAAGGACCACCAGUGGCGAAGGCGCCUGACCAAAACGCGUCUGACAGUGAGGGUCGAAGGCUAGGAGAACGAAUCGGAUUAGAUACCCGAGUAGCCCUAGCAGUAAAUUAUGCUGACUGUGGUGUUGCUAUGGCUUCGGGCCAUGGCAGUGCUGUAGCGUAGGUGUUAAGUCUGCCACCUGGGGAGUACGGCCGCAAGGUUGAAACUUAAAGGAAUUGGCGGGGGAGCACCACAAGGGGUGGAUGCUGCGGUUCAA
rnacentral:rRNA from 1 species